GGGCAAGUCUUAUACGAUCAGCUCCUACUUAAUCCCCCAGAAUGGGAACAUAGCAAGGGUCGGUGGUUGAGCGAUGCGAUGUAAGUAGCUUGCCCAUU
rnacentral:SRP_RNA from 1 species